ACAACCAUGAGGAACUCAUAGAAGUUGCAGCUGAAUUUAAGGAACUCUUUCUAAUAAUUAGAGCCAAUAAAUCAUCUCACUGCUCUCUUCACAGAGUAAUGGGCAGCCCAUUAAUCUAGGAGGUUGAAAUUAAGUAGACCUCUUUAAGACAGAGGUUAAAAAGAAGAUUAGGACUAACUUCUAAAGGAUUCCCAUAUUUGAAGGCAAAGGCGUCAAAACAUCGCUUAUCAUUGAUGCCAUGGAAUAUAUCACUCAUGUUUUCUCGGAUGUAUUCUAUUCCAUUUGGAGUUUAUUUUUGUGUAUGAGGUUACCAUUUUCUGUUGGCAAAUGCAAUGUCUGCUAAGAACAUACCUAGACGUGACCAAAGGCAAUAAAAUCUUGUGUUGCACUAAAUCUGACCAAAAGCAAUAA